UGGGGAAUAUUGGACAAUGGGCGCAAGCCUGAUCCAGCCAUGCCGCGUGAGUGAUGAAGGCCCUCGGGUUGUAAAGCUCUUUCACCGGUGAAGAUAAUGACGGUAACCGGAGAAGAAGCUCCGGCUAACUUCGUGCCAGCAGCCGCGGUAAUACGAAGGGGGCUAGCGUUGUUCGGAUUUACUGGGCGUAAAGCGCACGUAGGCGGACUUUUAAGUCAGGGGUGAAAUCCCGGGGCUCAACCCCGGAACUGCCUUUGAUACUGGAAGUCUUGAGUAUGGUAGAGGUGAGUGGAAUUCCGAGUGUAGAGGUGAAAUUCGUAGAUAUUCGGAGGAACACCAGUGGCGAAGGCGGCUCACUGGACCAUUACUGACGCUGAGGUGCGAAAGCGUGGGGAGCAAACAGG
rnacentral:rRNA from 1 species